rnacentral:rRNA from 1 species
GAUGAACGCUGGCGGCGUGCCUAAUACAUGCAAGUCGAGCGAACAGACGAGGAGCUUGCUCCUCUGACGUUAGCGGCGGACGGGUGAGUAACACGUGGAUAACCUACCUAUAAGACUGGGAUAACUUCGGGAAACCGGAGCUAAUACCGGAUAAUAUAUUGAACCGCAUGGUUCAAUAGUGAAAGACGGUUUUGCUGUCACUUAUAGAUGGAUCCGCGCCGCAUUAGCUAGUUGGUAAGGUAACGGCUUACCAAGACAACGAUGCGUAGCCGACCGGAGAGGGGGGUCGCCCACACUGGAACUGAGACACGGUCCAGACUCCUGCGGGAGGCAGCAGUAGGGAAUCGGCCGCAGUGGGCGAAAGCCUGACGGAGCAACGCCGCGUGAGUGAUGAAGGUCUUCGGAUCGUAAAACUCUGUUAUUAGGGAAGAACAAAUGUGUAAGUAACUAUGCACGUCUUGACGGUACCUAAUCAGAAAGCCACGGCUAACUACGUG